UUUUAAGGAGAACCCAUUUAAAAAACUGCUUACCCUGUACAUUUUGAUCGGUAGUAACACACACACACACGUCUUUUCGCUCUGAAUUGAAGUGAUUAUAGUAAUCUUCACUCUCAAUCUUCCGACUUUGCAGUGCAUUUCUAUCAGUGAACGUAUUGCCUUUUGGGUUCUGAGAAUCCGAGUAACUUCUGUCUCUGCCUCUGCCCUUUCCCAAAGAUUCAUAUUCCUUGCUCUGUAAAUGCCAAGACUUGUUUUUCCUGGCAGUAACUGGAGAUGCACAGUCUAUAAUCAGGGGAGAGAAAUAGAAACAACAAAAUCUCGGCCUAAUCAGAACACUAUAGACCUUGUUGAACAUUGGUUCAAGUAGUAAAUAUAGAGUAUAUGGGUAAUAUCAUUGCCUCAUUCUUUUCUGGUUUAGCGAAAGUCAUCGGCGAUCUUUUUGGUUCUCCCCUCGAUUUUUUCAAAGGAAAAUCUUGCAAUUCAGUUUGCAGAUCGACAUGGGACUUUAUCUGCUACAUCGAGAAUUUUUGUGUCGCCAAUCUGUUGAAGAUGGCCAUGGUGUUUGCUCUGCUAUAUAUUGUCCUCUUAUUCUUGUAUUUACUGCAAAAAUUGGGAAUCUGCCAAUGCGUUGGAUGGAGCCUAUGCAAAUUCUUAUGGGCAUGUUUGGCUUCCUGGUUCUCUAUUUGGGAGUACUGUUGCACUUUCUUGUUGGUUAAAGUUCUAAGGCUCAAAAGGAGAAACCGUGAACGAAGGCAAAGCAAUUUUGAAGAAUUUGACACAAGUACGGAAGAAGACUUGUAUGAUGAAAGCUUUUCGUCUCGUGUACCUAGAAGAGAGCUAAGUAGUUUACAAUCUCGCAGAUUGAGGGAUUAUAAACGAGUUCAUUUGAGGAGGUCAUUGAGGCCGAGAAGUCAUCGUAUACAAGUUGGGAUUAGCACUGAUUCUAAGUAUGGUAGUAGAAGGAACUCUUUUAGGCCUAGCAAUCAUGUUCAUAGCAUUAGAGUGACUCAAACAUCAAAAUUUGUUCGAAAAGGUCCAAAUUACAGCAGCAGAGUCGGGGGUUAUAGGAGACGAAGGCGUUAAAACUGCGUAGGACAAUGCAGCAAUCACUUUGACAUAACAAAUAUAAACAUAGAUUUUUCUUUUGACUUUACAUCUUAGCAUUCGUCUAAUUUAAUGGCAAGCUCUAGCCUCUAGUGUAUUGGCUGCAUGGGAUGUGAACUCUACAGAAUUACUGCAAUCAUUCUAUGCACAAGAAGUCUACAAGUAUGAAAUUGGUAUCUGUUAUUUGUUAAGGAACGGAGUUCAAUUGACUUGCAUUGAAGGUGUCUUUUCUUUAAAGCAAGCUCUAAAGCCAUCGCUUGGCAGGAGUGAGGCAAGGGAGGGACACCUUCAACUCUGAAACAGGAAUAUAAGAAGAGGGAGAGCAAACGCCAAGGAGGGUUUCUGUCACUGAUCUCGAUCAAGUUGAAUCAGAUCAUGUUAUGGCAAUGGCUUUGCAAGAACAAGAGAGGGAAGCUCUUACUGCACUUCCACAUAUUGAAACUGACAGCGACG